rnacentral:rRNA from 1 species
UACGGGGGGGGCAAGCGUUGUUCGGAAUUACUGGGCGUAAAGGGCUCGUAGGUGGCCAACUAAGUCAGACGUGAAAUCCCCCGGCUUAACCUGGGAACUGCGUCUGAUACUGGAAGGCUUGAGGAUGGGAGAGGGAUGUAGAAUUCCAGGUGUAGCGGUGAAAUGCGUAGAUAUCUGGAGGAAUACCGGUGGCGAAGGCGGCAUCCUGGACCAUUACUGACGCUGAGGCGCGAAAGCUAGGGGAGCAAACGGG